UAACUUUAAAAAGUUUAACUUUAUUUAGACAGAAAACUUGGAUAAAGUUUUGCAGAGGAAGCAGAGCCAAAUAAGAGCGAAUUUCACUUCACCAAGUCAGAGAAGGAAAGCCCCAUGGCCAGAAGAUUCAAGACCAAAGACCAAUAUGGAGAGAUGAUGAUCAGCAGGAAACAGCAGUCAAGAUCUCCAGAUGGAAGAUGGUGGUCAGUCAUUGGAGACUGAAAAGAGGGAAGGAGGUGAAGACAAAUAAAAGAAACCAGGGCUUUGCUGCAGCACUGACUUCACAGAUGAAAACUGACAGCAUUGUCUAUCUCUCAUCUUUUGGCUUGGGGAUUCUUGAGAACAGUGGCAUAGGUUGGAUGUGAGUACUUAUUAACUCUCCAUGUGCCACAGUUUGAUUAAUGGUGAAGGAAACUUGUUUCCCUGAUGUAAAUAUUCCAAGGCAUAGUCUCUAAGACACUUCAGAAGGUCUUGGCUAUUUUGAGGUGUCCACUAAAACGAUCAACACUGGCAUAUCAUCAAUGACUUUCCUUCCUUCUCUGUUCAUUCUCAUUCUUCCUUACCUUUUUCUCAUCUCACUACUCAAACAAACAAACAAACAAACAGAAACUACCUUAACAAAAGCCUUUUUCUGUUUCUGCUUUUGGGUGGGGGAUGCAAAACUCAGGGUAACAUUCAAGUGUAAGAAGAAAAAAG
rnacentral:lncRNA from 1 species